rnacentral:lncRNA from 1 species
UCCUAACAACCCCUCUAAUAAAAUAAAGUCACCUCACAUUAUUCUAAUCAUCACCACCCUACCUACCCACGUGAUCCCCUCCUAUUACUUGUUCACAAAGAAAAAAAAAGAUAAACAUCCUUGAAAUAAAAGGGGACCCCACGAAGGAAACUUCCAGGAAGAGGCCAAGGGCCCUUUUUGUUUUCAUUUGUUUUUAUGAUAUACAUCAGAGACCACAUUCCUUUUUCGGGGAAUAGAUAUACACGAGAGAGAGAAAGGAAAGGAAUUCUUGGGGGGUUCAUCAUCUUCAUUGGCUUCCGAGGAAAAAGAAUAGGAGAAGGGGUUCUUUGGGAAAAAAAUUUCAUCAUCCUCACAUACACAUACACACUGUGAUACUCCAAAAAAUCCGCUCACCCCUCAUCUCACCGAAAAAUCCACGACUCACCGAAAACGGAAUGUACACAUGAUAGAGAGAGAGAGAUUCAAAAAUGGGAGGGAGAUAGAGGGAGAGAGGUCGAGAUCUGUAACGGAGAAGAAAGUGGGGUUGAUUUUGGGUUACUCAAAAAUGGGUUCCGGUGGGUUUGGUCGCUAUUCCGGUGAUUACUUUGCCCGAAUCUCGUCGUCCUCUCCUGAUUUCUGGAUGAAUCCGAUAGGGAGACCAUAAUCUCACCGGAACAAUCCAUUUUUUUUUUCAAACGUCUUCAAGCGCCCCGUUUAGGAAAUAUUCUAACUCCCUGGAAUCCAACUUAUUUCCGCCUUUUCUGGUCACUGUUAUCUCACCGGAGCUCGGUCUACAUCAGGUUUCUAUUUCCUAUUGGUUUGUUGGGAUUUUGGGUUCGUCUUUUAUUUUGUUCUUCAUCGAUAUCGGGCUUCGAUUGGUUGCGUGGUAAAAGGGGUUGUCGUUCAUGAUUUGAAUUCUGUGUUAGGAGUUUAUUUCUAUGUUAGGAGUUUAUAGUCACGGGUCUCAAAGCUGUUUGGUUAUUAUUUUGAUAUCGAGUUCGGAGCAUAUUCGUCGUUGAGGUGCUAUUGAGGAUUCCAAAUUCGGGUUUUCAUUAAUUCAUAUUAUCAACAAAAAAUCGAUAUCGUAAGCUCCAUUCCUUAACUCUAUCUCUUCAUUAUUUCGAAUGUGGUUUUGCUGUGAUUUUGCGAUUUGGGUUUGGAUAUUUUAGUCGUAUUAAUUGUUGUUACGAGUAUGAAUUACUCAUGUGCAUGAAAUGUUUGAAUCUCCGUUGGAUGUUUGAUGUUGUUUGGUUUUGAAUAAUUGAUCUCAAUGGCAUAAAUGUGAUGAUAAUAUGAAUUUAGGUUUGUAUAAAAAGAAAAGUAAUUUGGGGUGGAAAUUGAAAGAUUAGUAAAAUGAUUUUGGUUUAAUUUUGAUUUAUUGAUUAUAUUAAUUUCAGUGAACUUGAUAGUAUCAUGUCUUAGGUUGGGCAUCGAUAGGCAAAUUCUAAGUUGGGGUAGGAAACUCAUAGGAUUCUAAUCAUCGAAUGUGUAAUUAUUUGUGUUGAGUGAUUUUUUUCAUUUUAUCGCAUUUCAUUAAAUGUAUUUAUUAAGCCGGGAAAUGCCCCGAAGCUCAUUUGUAUUUAUUCACCGGGGAAUGCCCCGACGUAUUAUGUUGCCGGAAGAUGUUCGUGAUCAAGACCCAAGGAACUGGGUGGAGCGUAGUUUAGGAUUAGCGUAGGUUUACAUUUCAGUUCCUUCUAUUUUGGGUUUGUAAUAAUUGGACUGAACAUUUACUUUUGAAUUUUCAUUUGUUUGGUUUGGUUGUUUUUUUUGUGUUUUGUAGUUUGUACAUUCAUAAUGUCAUACUAAUAGAUAAACUCCAUCAAGCGAUCGUGGUCGAACCACGGGAUCGAGGGGUGCCUAACACCUUUCCCUCGGUCAAUAGAAUUCCUUAGCCAGAAUCUCUGUUCGCAAACCAUUUUUAAAAGAGUCAAACCGUUUUAAAAGGAUUUUCCAAAAGGUGACUUGGCACAUCGGAUUUACGUCAAGUGGUGACUCUGAGUUUUUAAUAUAAAAGGUCCUUUUCAAAAUAAUUCUUCAUUUUGUCUCUUUAAUAAUUAAAAAAAAAACUUUCGAAAUCUUAAAAUGGAAUCCUUUCGGGUUAAAAAAGGGGUGUGACAGCUCUGGCAACUCUGCUAGGGACAACUUUUCAGAAUUCGAGCUUUUUGUGGAGUCGUAUCAUCUUUGUUUGGCAUUACGAGUAUAUAAGCAUUUUUUGUGAUUUUGUUUAUGUUAUUGUUAUCACUUUUGUGCGUUUUCGUGCACUUUGUUUAUAGUAUUUAUCCUAUGUGUUACUGCCUUUAUAUCUGUCAUCACGUGCAUAAUCCGAGUCUUUCUUUUUGCAACAAGUCCAUAGUACACGUGUUGUACAUGACCCCUAGUUGAGUCACCCUUAUUUUAGGGGGGAGUCGUCGGUGUUAUGGAGUAGGUGGAAAGCAAAGCAGCCACUAUCGAUCAUAUGCUCCCCUGAACAGCCUUGUUAGUGAACCCCAACAUAGGUCAACCUUUAGGUCAUGCUUAUGUGCAUCAUAUUGAGACUUAGCGGGGCUCACUUGGUCCUUUAUAGUAGACUCACCUCUAAAGCAUCCCUAUGUGCUAAAUGUUGCAUUUCACAGGGUAACGUGGUCAUUUGACAGACUGAUUUGGGGAAAACUUGUGUUAGAAGUAAGGAAAAAAAAUGAAAAAAAAAAGAGAAAAAAAGAGAGUUUCGCAGUUUUUUGGAGUUCUUUAUGGCUUUUAUUUUUCACAAUUCAAAAAUUCAAAAAGAUUUUCUUACCUUUUUCACGCAUUUACUCAAAAACAAAAAAAGAUUUUUCCUUUAUCUCUUUUAGCAUGCAUUCAUAAUUCGAAUUCCAAAAAAAAAAUCACUUUUAGGAGCUUUUUAUAAAAGAAAAAUUCAAAAAAGAUGUCAAAAGUUUUGUACAUUUCCUAUAAUGAAAAUACCAAAAAGAUUUUUCUUCAUAAUUGUUGGUGUCAGUCUUAGUUGAAGUGUCUAAUUAAAAACCUAAAAGAUUUUAUUCGUUUGUCUUUGGUUUUGUCUCUUAAGUUAGGGUCAAUCUAUUAGUUAAUCAUUAAUUAUCCAAUCUGGACAAACUACGCAUACCUGAUUCCCUCCCCUUGGGGUGGGAUACGUAGGUAACCCUCGGUGGAUCCGAUAAUCUUUAUUUUUGGCCUUUGUCUUAGUCUUAGCCUAGGUUUUUCUCCGCAUAAUCUAGUGUUGUUAGUUGUCCUAGCCAAGUAGGUUGAUUUUAUUCAGUGGUACUAUUCGGCGAUUUGGAGUCAUAAAGUGGCAUGGUCCUUCGACAUAUUCGUGUCAAAGUCUCAAGGGUUGGGAAUCUUUUGCUUCUAUCAAAUUUUUGAAAUAACGUCUUAUGUGUUAUUACAAGGAUGGAUUUGUCCACCAAGUCUAGAUUCCUGAUGGUUAUCAAGGUGUCCAAAAAGUUAAUCAAGUGGUGGGGUAUGUUUAGCUAUGUUGACCAGCAGAAACUGAUUAAAAUAUUAGGAGAUUUUACAGAACUUCUGCAUAUUACCCCUCCUCCAGAUCUAAUAGAGACGGUGUUGACCUUUUGGGAUCCAAGUAGUUUGGUGUUCAUGUUUGGAAAGUAUGAAAUGACUCCUACUUUGGUAGAAAUAUCUGGUCUGUUGCAUUUGCCCUAUAUCGAUAAAGGAAUGAUUAGAGCUCGAAAUCAAACUGGCACGAGGUUUUUGCAGUGUUGUGGGUUAAAAAGUAAAGAUACGUAUUUGGGUUGUUUGAAAGAUUCAUGGAUUUCCUUAUAUUUUUUGUUCGCUAGAUUCGGGCCCUCGGAAGGUUUUGAUUGCUUUUGGGAUAAAUUUCAUAUGACUAAGGAGAAGUGGGAGAGAAAUCGUCUUGAAGUCUUCACGCUCGCUUUGUUAGGUACUUUAGUGUUUCCGCUAGUAGAAAGACGCAUCAAUACACAUUUGCAAUCUGUAGUGAUGGCCUUAUUUCAUGAGGAAUAAGGGGACAAGGUUACCAUCAUAUUUAUGAUCUUAACAUAAAUAUAUAAGGCUUUAACCGAAGUGAAGGGAGUGUUGAGAUUCUUUUAGGGAAGUAACCUGAUGUUGCAACUAUGGUUGAAGGAGCAUUUGCAUGCACCUUCUCUAAUUAGACCGGAUGUGAUUGACCGUUGUAUGGCCAAUGAGUGUAAGCCACGGGUCAAAGAAUACGCGUUGCCAAAUUCUCACUACCCGUGGGAAUCAGUGCUUGGAUUGAAUUUCUCGAGUCAAGAACUGAGGAUAACAUUCUAUGGAGAUGUCUAUGGCUUCGUCCAAAAACAAUCUUAUCUGGUUGUCAGAUGCAACUCUUUUUGGUUAUGAUAGGACUUAAUUGUACUCGACCAUACACUCCUCUAAGGUAAUGCGUUAGCUGGGUAGAUCGCAAGACGUCCCACCCGUGGUGGAUCUACUGAAAGAUGUUGAGUACUUUAAGAACCAAGACUUAGGGUAGAGCAAAUACGAGCAACUCUGGAAUCACGCAACAAAAAUGGGUAUAGAUACUUUCAAAUAAGGGUCGGAAAACUCAGGGUACAGUUUGAGAUAUAAGAUCUGGAUUCAAUCUAUACCUCGAGGUGUUAGUAGGCCAAUACCAAUGCAACUUAGAUAAAGAAUACGAGAAGAAUGCAUUGUUGAUGACAGUCAGGAUGAAAGUGCGGAGGCCAAAGUGGAGACACUAAGGGUUCGGUUAUCAAAUUUGCUCAAGACUGUAGAAGGAUGUAAGAACAAUAUUUUCAGGUACAUUCCCCAUGAGACGGGAAUACGUGCCAGAAGCUUCUUCCAAAAUAUUGAGGUGUCUUUCCAUGAUAUGCCACGAAGUUUGAAUGGAAGAAAGAGAACUUCAGAGACAGGUCUAUCUCAGCCAGGGUCAUCACGCAGAGCACCAGUUUGAAGGAGCAUUUCUUAUCUUCUAUUUAGUUUGAGUCUCUUAUUGUUUGUUAUUGGAAGGUGGUGUCUUUGUCAAAUCGGCGUAAGUUUGCUUUUGGAGUCUUUAUUAGGAGAAUUAUGUAUGUCAAAUUGUUGGUCUGGAGUGUUGUUUGGUAUUUGUUGUUUAGUUUUAAAGUGGUCUUAAAUUUGGAGUAUGUUUAGUUGUUUCUUUAUCAAAAUGCUUUGCGUCAUUCUUUCUUUUGUUUGUUUUCGCUUAAAGAAGAAGAAAAUAAUAAUAAUAAUAAUAAUAAUAAUAAUAAUAAUAAUAAUAAUAAUAAUAAUAAUAAUAAUAAUAAUAAUAAUAAUAAUAAUAAGAAUAAGAACAACAACAAUAACAAUGAUAAUAAUAAUAAAAAAAAUCAUCAAAAAUCAUUAAUUUUCUGGUAUUUAUGCAUGAGUGGCCCGAACUACGCAAGAUCUGAUUCAUGUACAACAUGAUACGUAGGAAACCUACUUUUGGGGUUCGAUCUAAUCAUUUUGUUUCUUGGUUUUUCAUUAUUUUUCUCUUAUUUUAAGGAAAAACAAAAGUCAUAAAGAAUGAUAAAAAGAGAGGAGACAGCGAGAGAGGAAAAGAAAGAAAGAAUAAUGAGAGAAGGAAUAGAAAGAUAAAAAAGGUGGACUGAUGCAAGAGAUGAGAGAAGUGAUGGCGAAGAAAAAACAAAAAAAAAGGUGUGAUUGGAGAAAAGAAGAAAAUGGGUGUAGGAGAAAGAUCGGGAUGAUGUUAAAAUGGCCCCAUUACCCUCUACAUCUGGCAGAAACAUACAUGAACCUAGGAUGUAUACAAUGUGAUUUCUAUGCUUGUUGCCUCACCUAAAUCCUAACGGGUUUCGUCUUUGAUGAGCAUGUUCUUUCAGAUAAGUGGUUGGUUUGUAGCACUCUGGCUAGUCAUUCGUACUUCACUAGAUCAAAAGCGAAGCUUGCCAUGGCUAGUAGGGAGAUUGAAAAUUCGCUCAUUGACCCAGAUCAGGAUCCCAGGGAAGAAAGUUCAGAACGCAAUGAUGAGGUAUUGAGACUUAGACAACAAUCGCUAGAUCUGCACCAAGCAUGGGCUAGUGGCAUGCCUUCUCAUCCACUCCCUGAAGAUCUGGGGAAUAUCCUCAAUUGCCCACCGCUCUCUUAGGAGCAAUUCUCUAUUCCCAUUGAGUCACUGGAGCACGCACCAAGAUUCACUCUGUGACAAUAUUACCCUGGCACUUCUAGUGUGCCCCUGGCAGUUCCUCGACCAAGGCUCAUGACUCAGCCGGUGCCACCAGCAGUGCCUGUGUUCGUGGCUUUGCUACCACCUGAAGCUCCAACAUAUGCUAUACAUCCGAUAAUGGUGCUUCCUCGGUCUACCAGUGAGCCAGUAUUAAAGGUUUCAGAUAGUAAGUAUUAUGCCAUGGAGCCUACUUUGUGAAUGAAUGAACCGUAUGGGUACGCUCAGCCGCCUGCAUUUCCAUUUAAUACGGAUAAGCAUAUUGCAACAGAGGAACAAGAAGUCAUGGCGCGGAAGUUAAAGAGUUUAGAACAGGCCAUGAGGAAUUUGCAGGGAGUCGGAGGUUAUAAGAGUGUUUCCUAUAAAGAUCUUUGCAUGUUCCCAAACAUUAACCUCCCCCUUGGUUUUAAAAUGCCCAAGUUUGAGAAAUACGCGGGGCACGGUGAUCCCGUGGCUCAUUUGAGACGUUAUUGCAAUCAAUUGAGGGCUGCGGGGGGAAGAGAAGAGUUGCUUAUGGAUUUCUUUGGCGAGAGUCUUUCCGGUAUGGAUUCAGAAUGGUUCGUCGAUCAGUAUAUUGACCUGAUCGAUAAUAUCGACCUGAUUCUGGACAAAAAAUCCUUGGUCAACAUGAAGAAGAAAAGAACUGAAGGCUUUAGGGAUACGCGAUAAGGUGGCGUGAACAGGCCGCCAGGGUAAAGCCUCCAAUGAAGGAGAGUAAGCUGGUAGAGGUAUUCAUUCAGGUAUAGGAUGAGACCUAUUUUUAAUAUUUACUUCCGGCAAUGGGAAUGUCUUUUAUUGAAGUCCUCAAAAUGGGAGAGAUGAUAGAUGACGAAAUCAAGACCGGCCUAAUAGUAAGUUUUGCCGCGUUGAAAGCCACCACACAAGUGAUUCAAGGUAGAUUUGGCGCAUUCAAAGGUAAAAAGAAGAAAGAGGGCAUGGCGACUGUUGUAGCUGGAACCCAUUCCUAUCCCAAAAGACCACCUCGCCCCUAUCCCUAAUCCCAGGCCCAAGUCUAUACCCAAGCUCCAUAUAUUCCUCCCCACCAUUACUACCCUCCAUAAAACCCAUUAUAUUCCAUUCCACCACCCCUGUACCCAGUAUAUAGCGUGCAACUAUAUGACUAAACCUCUUCUUACCCACAAUGGCGUGUGCAAGCUCCACAAAAUCGUCCAUCAGCUCCACUAAAUUACCAAAACCCCUCCAAACCCGAUUUCCAACCCAGUCUCGAGUACAAGAAAGAGAAGGCGGUCAAAAAUUAGUUCACACCUCUUGGAGAGUCAUAUGCUAGCUUAUUUGAUAGGUUGAGAAAGAUGAAGGUCUUAAGCCUAAUUCAAGGAAGGCUUUUGAAUCCACCUUCGAGAAAUCUUAAUUAUUCGUUAAUAUGUUUGUAUUAUUCUGACAUGUUGGGGCAUGAUAUCGAGAAAUGCUGGCAUUUAAAAAGAGCUAUCCAAGAUUUAAUUGAUGCAAAUCAAAUUUUGGUUUAGGCCCCGAAAUUUCUAAACAUCAAACAGAAUUCGCUGCCAACCCAUGCUGAAACCAAUAUAUUGGAAUUGAUAUAUGAUGGCAAAGAGUCGUCGAUGUAUCAUAAGCGUAUUGUUAGAAUAUAGACCUAUAAAGAUAAAUCAGUGUAUGUGGCGGAUUCAUUAAAAGCAAUAUCAUUGAGCUAGGAAGAAGCGGUAGAAGAUUAAGUCCAAGAAAGCACGAAGAAACUCGUGAUCACGGUAAAAGAAGAUGAAACAGUUGUUGGGCUAAGUCAGGACAAACCUAAGUUGGCAGUGGUAGAUCUCCGAGUAAGCUUAUUUUAAUAGUAAAAGGAGUACUUGCGUAACCUAUUAUCAUCAAACUGGCAACCCAGCUUUCGAUCGUCGAUAUGAAAAAGGUCCCCUGGAACUAUAAGUAGACUGUGAUGACUUAUCAGGGGAAGAAAGUUGAGGAAGAAGUACAUGAGGUAGGGGGUCUGACUCAGUCAGGAAGAUGCUUCAUGCCUAAAGGUUUGAGGAAUCCCAAGUCUGGGGUGAGUGGUCCUUCAUCUCUCAAGAAGCCCAUCACCGAAGAAGAAGCCAAAGAGUUUUUGAGAAAGAUGAAACUUCUAGAGUACUCGAUAAUAGGUCAGCUGAAGAAAACCCUGCUCAAAUUUCCCUCUUAUCUUUGUUGCUGCAUUCCAAGGAAUAUCGUUAUAUUAUAUUAAAGGUAUUAAAUGAAGCAAGUAUUCCUAGGGAGAUUACAGUAAAUCAGCUUGAGAAAAUGGUUGGAAAAAUUUUUGAGGUCAAUUAGAUCAGCUUCUCUGACGAUGAAUUGCCUAUUGAAGGUACAAGGCAUAACCAGGGUCUUUACAUUAUGGUGAAGUGCAAAGAUUUGUACAUCAAUAAUGUCAUGAUUGAUGGAGGUUCAGGUGCAAAUAUCUUUCCUAUUUCUACUUUGUAAAAGUUAAACAUUGGUGUUGAGAGAAUCAGGCCCAACAAUGUAUGUGUCAGAGCUUUCGAUGGUGCAAAAUCAAACUCCAUUGGAGAAAUAGAACAAAUAUUGAUUAUAGGGCCUGUUGAGUUCGCCAUAGAGUUUCAAGGAUUAAAUAUAGACUCCUCUUACAAUCUGUUAUUGGGAAGACCGUGGAUCUACAAGGCCAAGGCGGUUGCAUCUACAUUGCACCAAAUGAUCAAGUUUAAGAAUGAUAGGAAAGAAGUGGUUAUUCAUGGUGAAGGGGAUUUGUCCGCCUAUGAAGAUUCUCCCUUGUCCCUUAUUGAAGAAAACAAUGUAGAGGAGGCAUUUGUCUAUCAAACUUUUGAUACAGUGUCGGUGAAUCGUAUCGUUGAAGGGCAGGUUAGUCCAGGCCCACAAUUGUCUUCCACUUCUAUCAUGAUGGUGAGUGAGCUUUUGAAAUAUGGAUUUGUGCCAGGGAAGGGUUUGGGAGUGUCUCUGCACGGUAUCAUUCAUCCCAUAUAUUUGAGAGAGAACAUGGGUACUUUUGGUUGGGAUUUGAACCUAUGGUUGAAGAUUUGAAGAAGGCCAAGGGAAGGCAAAAGAAAACAUGGUCACUCCCUCGCCCAAUGCCGCUACUCAGUGAAUCUUUUGUCAAGAGCGAUGUCACAAAGCCUGUAGAAUUUGAAGAUGAAUUGGUUGAUGACUUACAGAACCUGUUGAUUGAGGUUUACAUAGUUGAAGUAGGAGAGGGUACCAGUAAGGCAGGCGUGUUUUUCAUGGUCUUGAGGUCCAGCUCAAUAAUUGGGAAGUCACUCCUCUCCCCGUCAAGAGAGAGUUUUGGUAGUUCUUUUUGUUUUUCUUUCUAUUUAUCCAAGUUAUUCAAGGGUUGUAAUUCGGAAUUUAGCUUGUUUACAUUCUGUUGUCAUUUGUGUUUAAACCUUCCUAUCUUUCCCUUUUAAUAAAAUGCAAUGUCCCCUUAUUUUAUGUCUAAUAUAUUUUGAUUUUGUCUUUUUUUUUAUACAGCUCUCUUUAUGCCGAUUCUAAUGACAUGACAUGCAUGCAGAGUUUUUUGCCUGAUCAUAAAAUCCAAACUAAUCAAGAUAUAAUGAAGCAAGAGGGGAAUAUGAUGAAGAAGAGGUACUAGAGUAAAUAAGCAAAGAGUUGGAACAGUUUGAAGACAAGUAGAAUCCUAAUCUGGAUGAAACUGAGCCAAUCAAUCUAGGGAAUCAAGAAGAUGUUAGGGAAACUAAAAUAAGUGUACAUGCUUUGCCGCAUCUAAAAGAUGGAAUGAUUCAAGCAUUAAUUAUUUAUAAGGAUGUUUUUGUAUGGUCUUAUGAUGAUAUGCCUGGUUUAAGCACUGAAUUAGUAGCUCAUAAAUUGCCAACUGAUCCCACAUUCCCUCCUGUGAAACAGAAAUUAAGGAAGUUUAAAACUGAUGUAAGCAUUAAAAUCAAAAAGGAAAUCAUGAAACAACUUGAAGCCAAAGUCAUUCGAGUGGCUCGUUAUCCUACGUGGUUAUCCAAUGUUGUUACUGUCCCAAAAAAAGAUGGCAAAAUUCGAGUAUGUGUUUAUUACCGUGAUUUGAAUAGAGAAAGUCUGAAAGAUGAUUUUUUUUGUUGCCCAAUAUGCAUAUUUUACUGGACAAUUGUGCCAAACACGAGCUUGCCUCUUUUAUGAAUUGCUAUGCUGGAUACCACCAGAUCAUUAUGGAUGAUGAAGAUGUAUAAAAGACGUCUUUUAUCAUACCAUGGGGGACUUAUUGCUAUCGAGUGAUGCCGUUUGGUUUGAAGAAUGUUGGAGCAGCAUACAUGAGACCCAUGACCACUAUGUUUCAUGAUAUAAGGCAUAAGGAGAUUGAGGUCUAUAUAGAUGAUGUGAUUAUUAAGUCAAAAAGUCAGGCUGAUUUUGUUAAAGAUUUAAGAAAGUUCUUUAAAAGGCUUCGCAGGUAUAAUCUCAAGAUCAACCCGGCAAAAUGUGUAUUUGGUGUUCCAUCUGGAAAGCUGUUGGGGUUUGUAGUCAGCCUUUGGGGAAUUAAAUUGGAUCCCUCAAAAAUAAAAGCCAUUCAGGAUUUGCCCCCGCCCAAGAAUAGGAUAGAGGUGAUGAAUUUACUUGGUAGACUAAACUAUAUCACCAAUUUUAUUGCUCAACUCACAACCACUUGUGAUGCUAUAUUCAAGUUGUUGAAAAAGAGUGUUGUGAUAGAAUGGACUAAACAAUGACAGGAAGCAUUCGAUAGGAUUAAAAAAUACUUGUCAAAUACGCCCGUGCUGGUACCACCGAAGCCUGGUAGGCCUUUGAUCUUAUAUUUAUCACUCAUGAACAAUUCUUUCGGUUGUAUCCUGGGUUAACAUGAUGUCACGGGCAAAAAGGAGAAGGAUAUUUAUUAUCUUAGCAAGAAGCUCACCGCAUAUGAGGCCAGGUAUACUCUUCUUGAAAGGACGUGUUGUGCCCUAACUUGGGUAGCACAGAAGUUGAAGCAUUAUCUCUCAUCCUACACUACUUAUCUCAUCUCCUGCAUGGAUUUUUUAAAGUAUAUCUUUUAGAAGCCUAUGCCGAUAGGUCGAUUGGCAAAGUGGCAAAUAUUGCUCACCGAGUUCGACAUUGUGUAUGUGACUCAAACUGCCAUGAAAUACCAAGCCUUGGUAGAUCAUCUUGCUGAGAAUCCCAUUGAUGAAGAGUACGAGCCAUUAAAUACAUAUUUUCCUGAUAAAGAAGUAUAGUGUGUCAAUGAAGUCAUUAUAGAUACUGAUCUAGGUUGGAAGUUGUUCUUCGAUGGAGCUGUCAACAUGAAAAGAGUCGAAAUAGGUGUGGUUCUUAUCUCUAAAUUGGGGAAAUAUUUCUCGAUAACAGCGCAACUUCAAUUUUAUUAUACCAAUAACAUGGUGGAAUACAAAGCGUGCAUUCUUGGUUUGAGGUUAGCUGUUGAUAUGGGAGUCCAGGAACUAUUAGUGUUGGGGGAUUCAAAUUUUCUUGUCCACCAAAUUCAAGGCGAUUGGCAGGCGCGAGAUUUAAAGCUUAUACCGUAUCAACAAUACUUGUAGGAGCUAUGUCAACGGUUUAUGUCAGUAAAAUUUAGGCAUAUUCCAAGGAUUCAUAAUGAGAUUUCUGAUGCUUUAGCCACUCUGUCUUCAAUGCUCCAAUAGCCUAAUAAAGACUACAUCGAUCUAGUACAUAUACAGAGUCAUGAUCAGCAUGCUUACUGUAUUGCGGUUGAAGAAGAGUUUGAUGUAGAAUCUUGGUUCUUUGAUAUCAAGCGAUACGAGAAUACCCAACACAUGCCGCCAACGAUCAAAAGAGGACUAUUAGGCAUUUGGCUAGUGGAUUUUUUUAACUGGGGGAAUCUUAUAUAAGAGAACCCCAAAUCUGGGACUUUUGAGGUGUGUAGAUACAAAAGAAGCCUCGACGAUCAUGGUUGAAAUACACUUUGGAGUAUUUGGGUUGCAUAUGAAUGAUUAUGUUUUGUCUAAGAAGUUUCUUCGAGCAGGUUAUUAAUUGCUUACUAUGGAGAAAGAUUCUAUUCGAUUUGUUCGAAAGUGUCAUCAAUGCCAAGUACACGAUGAUCUGAUAUAUUCACCUCCUACUGAGUUUCAUGCAAUGUCUGCUCCAUGGCCGUUUGUAGCAUGGGGAAUGGACAUGAGUGGACCGAUUGAGCCAAAAGCGUCAAAUGGGCAUAGAUUUAUUUUGGUGGCCAUAGAUUACUUCACAAAGUGGGUAGAAGCAGUAACUUUCAAGUCAGUAAUAAAGAAGGCAGUGGUAUAUUUUGUUCACGCCAACAUCAUUUGUAGGUUUGGAAUCCCAAAGAUGAUCAUUACAGAUAAUGCCGCCAAUCUAAAUAGUCAUUUAAUGCAAGAAAUGUGCCAACAGUUUAAGAUCGCACAUCAAAAUUUCACUCCAUAUCAUCCAAAGGCAAAUGAUGCUGUGGAAGCCGCCAAUAAGAAUAUCAAUAAGAUACUGCAGAAAAUGGUCCAAAGGUCUAGACAAUGGCAUGAGAAGUUACCGUUUGCAUUGCUAGGUUAUCGCACUUCUGUUCGCACUUCAAAAGGGUCAACUCCAUAUUUAUUGGUGUAUAAGACAGAAGCAGUCAUCCCUUCAGAAGUUAAAAUUCCCUCUUUUUGAGUCAUUGUGGAAGCAGAGAUUGAUGAUGACGAGUGGGUCAAAACCCGACUGGAAUAAUUAAGUUUGAUUGAGGAAAAAAGGCUAACGUUGGUAUGUCAUGGCCAAUUGUAUCAGAAGAGAAUGGCUCGAGCAUAUAACAAAAAGGUAUGACCCACGCAUUUUGAAGUUGGUUAGUUGGUAUUGAAGCGUAUCCUUCCUCACCAGGUUGGAGCGAAAGGCAAGUUCUCCCCAAACUAGCAAGGUACCUUCAUUGUGAAAAAAGUGUUACCCAAUGGAGCCUUAUAUUUGACAGAUAUUGAAGGAAAAAUGGCAGAAAUGGCUAUCAAUGCUGAUGCGGUCAAAAGAUAUUAUGUAUGAUAUUUUAUCCUUUGUUAAUUUUAUUGCAUAUUUAGUACUUACAUUUUUAAAGAUUGAUAUGAUGAAGGCAUUUUAUUCUUCUAUCCAAAUAUUAUGUCAUCCUUUGUUUACCCGUUUUAGCUUAAUUUUAUUUUUCUUUCAUAUCCCUCUUUUGAAAUCAAAAUAAAGUCAAAGAUAACUGUCAAGAAAAUAAGAAUAAAAGAAAGUUUGAAAAUAAAAGAAAAAAAGAGAGAAGAAAAAAUCAAAACAAAACAAAGAACAAGCUGAUGGAACUACGUGCGACCUGAUUCUCUUUUCUUAGGAGUGAGAUACGUAGGAUGCCCUAUUCAGGGCUCGGUCUAACCAAAUAAAUAUUUUAGAGUCACCCAGUCAACAAAAAAUUGGGGCAUGAGCUAACAUGUUGUUGAGUCAAUUCCAAAAGUUGUAAAUCCCACCCCCACUUCAAGUGUCAUCUGAGCCUCCUACCAUCCUUUUCUUCCUAAGCUUAUCCAAAAACCAAGUUACAACCAAAGAAAGACCUUUAGAUCAAUCUUUGAUAAUGUUAAGGCUAAGCAUGCAAUGGAUAUGAUGAUACAUUUUGGGGUACUACUUGUCUUUCUCAGCAUAAGAAGUCAUGAAAGAAAUAAAAAUGAGAGAGACUUAUUGGUGAAAAUCCUCAUGGGCACCACAAGGAGAUGGUGAGCCGAGAGAAAUAAAAAUGAGAGAGUCUUACUGGUGAAAACCCUCAUGGGCACCAUAAGGCGAUGGGGAGUUGAGAAAAAUAAAAAUGAGAGAGUCUUAUUGGUGAAAACCCUUAUAGGCAUCAUAAGUCAAUGGCGAGUUCGAGAGAAAAGUGAAAACGAAAGAGAUUUGUUGGCAAAAGUCUUUCAAGAUGUCAUCAAUUGAAUGAGAUAUAUGAGUCCAAUGGAUUUGAAAGAAGCGGCUCAGCGAUAAAGGCACGAACUACACAACAAAUGGGAAGUUUGGAUAGGAAGAUCAGGAACCUUAAUCCAAAAUGCAUGUCAUAGUCAUUGGAGUUGGUUUCCAUAUUCAGAUAAGUUUUUUCCAUAUUCAGAUAAGUUUUCUUCUUUGUUAAAAAAGGGACAUUGCACUUUUUCUUUCAUUUAUAUAUUCAUAUUUUUGUCCUUUUAUGUCUUUUAUCAAAAGAAAAGUCACCAUCAUUUCUUUACACUCCUUGAGUCUAUUCUGUGUCAAAACAAGCAAGAAAGAAUUUCAAAACUUGCUACCAGUCUUUUCAAUUGUAUGAGGAAAAGACAAGGACCAGCACACAAGAGAAACAUGAUCAUAAUUCAAAACAAGGCAAAGGUAAUCUAUCAACUGACAGGUUGUUGGAUUCAUGGGAGUAUCAUAUGUCAAAAGGUGCAUCUCAGAGGCAUGGUAAAAUAGUCGGAGUUUGAGUCAAAGGCAUUUCCCCGAUCUGGUCUGGGUCAAUGAAUGCGACAAGGCAGGGGCAAGUGCCAACAAUCUGAAAUAAAAUAAGGGGAAUGGACAUUGGAGCAAGUGUCAGGAAAGCCAAGUGCUGCAAACCAUCACUAAGUUUUUAAUUGACAAAUUUUCUUUGUUGAAAUAGGGAAAAAUUUACUUCACUUAAUUCAGCGGCCAUUGGAAAAGCACUUCCGUGGGAUUUUAGUUUCUGUUCAGGAUCCUCCUGAAAAAUGGGAUUUUACUUUAGGUUCAGGACCCUGCUGAAAAAUAGAAAUUUAAUUUCUGUUCAGGACCCUCCUAAAAAAUGGGAUUUCACUUUAUGUUCAGGACCCUCCUGAAAAAAUGGGAUUUUACAUUCUGUUCAGGACCCUUCUAAAAAAUGGGAAUUUUACUUUUUGUUCAGGACCCUCCUGAAAAAUAGGGUUUUACUUUAUGUUCAGGACCCUCCUAAAAAAUGGGAUUUUACUUUCUAUUCAGAACCCCCCAAAAAAAUGGAAUUUUACUUUCUGUUCAGGACCCUCCUGAAAAAUAGGGUUUUACUUUAUGUUCAGGACCCUCCUAAAAAAUGGGAUUUUACUUUCUAUUCAGAACCCCCCAGAAAAACGGGAUUUUACUUUCUAUUCAGGACCCUCCUGAAAAAUGGGACAUUACUUUAUGUUCAGGACUCUCCUGAAAAUAGGGUUUUACUUUCUAUUCAGGACCCUCCUGAAAAAUGUAAUUUUACUUUCUGUGUAGGAACCUCCUAAAAAAUGGGAAUUUAAUUUCCGUUCAGGACCCUCCUGAAAAAUGGAAUUUUAAUUUCUGUUUAGGACCCUCCUGAAAAAUGGGAUUUUACUUUCUGUUCAAGACCCUCCUGAACAAUGGGACUUUACUUUCUGUUCAGGACACUUUUGAAAAAGAGAGUUUUACUUUCUAUUCAGGACCCUCCUAAAAAAUGGGAAUUUACUUUCUGUUCAGGACCCUCCUAAAAAUGGGAUCUUACUUUCUAUGCAGGACCCUCCUAAAAAAUGAGAUUUUACUUUAUGUUCAGGACCCCCCUGAAAAAUGGGAUUCUACUUUCUUUUCUGGACCCUCCAGAAAAAUGAGAUUUUACUUUCUAUUCAGGACCCUCCUGAAAAAUGGGACUUUACUUUCUAUUCAAGACCCUCCUAAAAAAUGGGAUUUUACUUUAUCUUCAGGACCCUCCUGAAAAAUGAGAUUUUACUUUCUAUUCAGGACCCUACUGAAAAAUAGGAUUUUACAUUAUGUUCAGGACCCUUCUGAAAAGAAAAUGGGACUUUACUUUAUGUUUAGGACCCUCCUGAAAAAUGGGAAUUUACUUUCUGCUCAGGAUCAUCCUGAAAAAAAUGGGAUUUUACUUUUUGUUCAGGACCCUACUGAAAAAUGGAAAUUUACUUUCUGUUCAGGACCCUUCUAAAAAAUGGGAUUUUACUUUAUGUUCAGGACCCUCCUGAAAAAUGAGAUUUUUCUUUCUCCUUCUGAAAAUGGGAUUUUACUUUCUGUUUAGGACCCUCCUGAAAAAUGAAAUUUUACUUUAUGUUCAGGAACCUCCUGAAAAAUGAAAUUUUACUUUAUGUUCAGGACCCUCCUGAAAAAUGAGAUUUUACUUUCUGUUCAGGACCCUCCUGAAAAAUAGAAUUUUACUUUCUGUUCAGGACCCUACUGAAAAAUAGGACUUUAUUUUUUAUUCAGAUCCUCCUGAAAAAUAGGAUUUUACUUUUUGUUCAGGACCCUUCUCAAAAAUGAGAUUUUACUUUCUAUUCAGGACCCUCUUGAAAAAUAAAAUUUUACUUUAUGCUAAGGACCCUCCUGAAAAAUGAGAUUUUACUUUAUGUUCAGGACCCUCCUGAAAAGAAAAUGGGACUUUGCUUUAUGUUCAGGACCCUCCUGAAAAAUGAGAAUUUACUUUCUGUUCAGGACCUUCCUGAAAAAAAUAGGAUUUUACUUUCUGUUCAGGACCCUCCUGAAAAAUGAGAUUUUUCUUUUUUUCAGGACCCUCCCGAAGAAAGAGACAUUACUUUAAAAAAUGAAAUCUCUUUAUACUAAUUUUUUUUUAGGAUAAUUUUCUUUUGAGUUUUGAUGUGAUUUCAGGAGCCCACCUGGAGAACAGGAUGUAGAAAUGAAAAGUCAAGCAAUAAAGUGAAGAAGUUGAAAGUCAAGCAACAAGGUGAAGAAGUUGAAAACAAAACAAGAAACGUGAAAAGUUGAAAGUUAACAGAUUGAAAAAUAGCAAGUCAGGAGCCCGCCUGAAAAAUAGGGUGAGGAAAUUAAAAGUUAAGCAAUGAGGUGUAACAAUUGAAAGUCAAACAAAAAGUUACAGAAAUUUCAAAUCAGGAGCCCGCCUGAAGAAUAGGGUGAUAAAGUAGCGAGUCAAGAUUCCAACAGAAGCUGCGUAGAUAGGAUUUUUGUAAUUCCAUUUAUGUUUUAACUUCUAAUUUUUAUUUUUGAUGUAAUGACAGAGCCGCGGACCGGAACCUCGAUGGAACCUCACUCUACUCUCCAAAUCGGUAUAGUCCACUUCUCUUCCAACCCUUUGAGGUACUUGUCCAAAGUCAAGAGUCGGUUGCCCUCCUUCUGUUUUAUCCCUUUUGAAUAUUGGUCGGGAGAAAAUUUUGUCUCGUUGUCUACUUCUUUAUCUGAAAACACUUCAUGUUUACAUUCAAAGGGGGCAUGAUGUAGACACGUAAUUUCAUUCCUUCACAACUUAGUUUCAUCGUUCACCCCUUCUUACCACGUAUCAUAUCCGCGUGGUAACUUUUUGCACUAAAAAAAAUAAGCACUUUAUCUUUUUACCUAUUUGUUUAUUUAUGGGUCUUUAUCCAAAUACCAAAAGAUAACAAAUUUUAUCUUCUUUUAAAACCUCCUAACAACCCCUCUAAUAAAAUAAAGUCACCUCACAUUAUUCUAAUCAUCACCACCCUACCUACCCACGUGACCCCCUCCUAUUACUUGUUCACAAAGAAAAAAAAAGAUAAACAUCCUUGAAAUAAAAAGGAGCCCCACGAAGGAAACUUCCAGGAAGAGGCCAAGGGCCUUUUUGUUUUCAUUUGUUUUUAUGAUAUACAUACAGAGACCACACUCCUUUUUUGGGGAAUAGAUAUACACGAGAGAGAUAAAGGAAAGGAAUUCUUAGAAGGUUCAUCAUCUUCAUUGGCUUCUGGGGAAAAAGAAUAUGAGAAGGGGUCCUUUGGGAAAAAAAAAUUCAUCAUCCUCACAUACACACGCACACUGUGAUACUCCAAAAAAUUCACUCAUCCCUCAUCUCACCGAAAAUCCCAUGACUCACCGAAAAUAGAACAUACACACGAUAGAGAGAGAGUGAGAGAUUCGAGAAUGGGAGGGAGAUAGAGGGAGAGAGGUCGAGAUCUGUAACGGAGAAGAAUGCGGGGUUGAUUUCGGGUUACUUGAAAAUGGGUUCCGAUGGGUUUGGUCGCUAUUCCGGCGAUUACUUCACCAAAAUAUCGUCGUGCUCUCCUGAUUUUUUGGUGAAUUCGAUAGGGAGACCAUAAUCUCAUCAGAACAAUCCAUUUUUUUUCAAAUGAUUUCAAGCGCUCCGUUCAGGAAAUAUUCUAACUCGCCGGAAUUCGACUUAUUUUUGUCUGUUCUGGUCACCGUUAGCUCACGGGAGCUCGGUCUACAUCAGGUUUCUAUUUUUUGUUAGUUUGUUAGGAUUUUUGGUUCGUCUUUUAUUUUGUUCGUCGUCGAUAUCGGGUUUCGAUUGGUUGCAUGGUAAAAAGGGUCGUCGUUCAAGAUUUAAAUUCUGUGUUAGGAGUUUAUUUUUAUGUUAGGAAUUUAUAUUCACGGAUCUCAAAGCUAUUUGGUUAUUAUUUUGAUAUCGAGUUCGGAGCAUAUUCAUCGUUGAGAUGCUAUUGAGGAUUCCAAAUUCAGGUUUUCUUUAAUUCGUAUUAUCAACAAAAAUUUGAUAUCGGAAGGUUCAUUCCUUAACUCUAUCUCUUCAUUAUUUUGAAUGUGAUUUUGUUGUGAUUUUGCGAUUUGGGUUUGGAUAUUUUAGUCGUAUUAAUUGUUGUUGCGAGUAUGAAUUACUCAUGUGCAUGAAAUGUUUGAAUCUCUGUUGGAUGUUUGAUGUUGUUUGGCUUUGAAUCUCAAUGGCAUAAAUGUGAUGAUAAUAUAAAUUUGGGUUUGUAUAAAAAAAAAAAAAAAAGUAAUUUUGGGGUGGGAAUUGAAAGAUUAGUAAAAUGAUUUUGGUUUAAUUUUGAUUUAUUGAUUAUAUUAAUUUUGUUGAACUUGAUAGUAUCAUGUCUUAGGUUGCGCGUCGAUAGGCAAAUUCUAAGUUGGGGUAGGCAACUCAUAGGAUUCUAAUCAUCGAAUGUGUAAUUAUUUGUGUUGAGUGAUUUUUUUAUUUUUAUCGUAUUUUAUUAAAUGUAUUUAUUAAGUCGGGGAAUGCCCCGAAGCUCAUUUGUAUUUAUUCACCGGGGAAUGCCCCGACGUAUUAUGUUGGCAGAAGAUGUUCGUGAUCAAGACCCAAGGCACCGGGUGGAGCGUAGUUUAGGAUUAACGUAGGUUUACAUUUCAGUUCCUUCUAUUUUGGGUUUGUAAUAAUUAGACUGAACAUUAACUUUUGGAUUUUCGUUUGUUUGGUUUGGUUGUUUUUAUGUGUUUUGUGGUUUAUACAUUCAUAAUGUCAUACUAGCCGAUAUGCUCCACCAAGCGAUCGUGGUCGAACCAUGGGAUCGAGGGGUGCCUAACACCUUUCCCUCGGUCAACAGAAUUCCUUAGCUGGAAUCUCUGUUCUCAAACCAGUUUUAAAAUAGUCAAACCGUUUUAAAAGGAUUUUUCAAAAGGUGACUUGGCACACUGGAUUUAUGUCAAGUGGUGACUCUGAGUUUUGAAUAUAAAAAGUCCUUUUCGAAAUAAUUCUUCAUUUUGUCACUUUAAUAAUAAUAAAAACAAAACUUUCGAAACCUUAAAAUGGAAUUCUUUCAGGUUAAAAAAGGGGUGUGACACUUUUAAGUAAACUUAAAAAUUUAUAUAAUCAUUUAAAAGAACUGUAAUUUUAGAUAAUUAUGAUAUAGUGUAAUUUUUCCUUUAGAAUAAUUUCAUCAAAUAAUUUUGUCAGCUCUCAUCUCAGUCAUUACAAUUUAAAGGAAUAAAUUGGUGUAUAUAUAGUAACUAUUAGCCAAAUUUUCAGAUAUUGGCCUUAUGUUUAAUAGUGGAUUUACCCUCUCAAUUUCCAUGUGAUUAAUCACAUCACUAUGUGAUGACUCCCUUACGUCAUCUCACAACCAACCAUUGAACUUUGGUUACUAAUUUUAUUGAGAAAAGACAUUUUUUUCCCUCAGAAUUUGUUCUUCAAACUCACUUUAGCACUUAAACUUAACUUCUGUUUAUUUACUUCCCUUAACAUCUUUAAAGUAUAUUAUUUUCACCCCUAAAAUUGACG